rnacentral:rRNA from 1 species
GAUGAACGCUGGCUACAGGCUUAACACAUGCAAGUCGAGGGGAAACGCCGGGGAAGCUUGCUUCCCCGGGCGUCGACCGGCGCACGGGUGAGUAACGCGUAUCCAACCUGCCUCUGACUGAAGGAUAACCCGUCGAAAGUCGGCCUAAUACCUCAUGGUAUCGUCUGCGGGCAUCCAACGACGAUUAAAGAUUUCAUCGGUCAGGGAUGGGGAUGCGUCUGAUUAGCUUGUUGGCGGGGUAACGGCCCACCAAGGCUACGAUCAGUAGGGGUUCUGAGAGGAAGGUCCCCCACAUUGGAACUGAGACACGGUCCAAACUCCUACGGGAGGCAGCAGUGAGGAAUAUUGGUCAAUGGGCGAGAGCCUGAACCAGCCAAGUAGCGUGCAGGAAGACGGCCCUAUGGGUUGUAAACUGCUUUUAUGCGGGGAUAAAGUGAGGGACGUGUCCCUCAUUGCAGGUACCGCAUGAAUAAGGACCGGCUAAUUCCGUG